CGAAGGAUCCAAGCGUUAUCCGGAUUUAUUGGGUUUAAAGGGUGCGUAGGCGGACUAUUAAGUCAGUGGUGAAAGCCUGCAGCUUAACUGCAGAACUGCCAUUGAUACUGAUGGUCUUGAGUACAUUUGAGGUGGGCGGAAUGUGUCAUGUAGUGGUGAAAUACUUAGAUAUGACACAGAACUUCGAUUGCGAAGGCAGCUCACUAAACUGUAACUGACGCUGAGGCACGAAAGCGUGGGGAUCAAACAGGAUUAGAUACCCUGGUAGUCCACGCCCUAAACGAUGAUUACUCGAUGUGUGCGAUACACUGUACGCGUCUGAGCGAAAGCAUUAAGUAAUCCACCUGGGGAGUACGGCCGCAAGGCUG
rnacentral:rRNA from 1 species